CCUACGUAUGGGGCGUCUGUGUGUGUGUGUGUGUGUGUGUGUGUAGGGGGGGGGUCUCACGUUUUUGCCCCCAUCGCAGGACCGCAACACU
rnacentral:pre_miRNA from 12 species